CCAACUCUGNUGGCUGGCCUANCACAUGCAAGUCGAGCGCACCUUUCGGGGUGAGCGGUGGACGGGUUNGUAACGCGUGGGAAUAUACCCUUUGGUACGGAAUACCCUGUGGAAACGGAGAGUAAUACCGUAUGAGCCCUUCGGGGGAAAGAUUUAUCGCCAAAGGAUUAGCCCGCGUUAGAUUAGGUAGUUGGUGGGGUAAUGGCCUACCAAGCCUACGAUCUAUAGCUGGUUUUAGAGGAUGAUCAGCAACACUGGGACUGAGACACGGCCCAGACUCCUACGGGAGGCAGCAGUGGGGAAUCUUGGACAAUGGGCGCAAGCCUGAUCCAGCCAUGCCGCGUGAGUGAUGAAGGCCUUAGGGUCGUAAAGCUCUUUCGCCUGUGAAGAUAAUGACGGUAGCAGGUAAAGAAACCCCGGCUAACUCCGUGCCAGCAGCCGCGGUAAUACGGAGGGGGUUAGCGUUGUUCGGAAUUACUGGGCGUAAAGCGCACGUAGGCGGACUGGAAAGUAUGGGGUUGA
rnacentral:rRNA from 1 species